rnacentral:rRNA from 1 species
CCCUAUGGGGUGCCGCAGGCGCGGGAAGUCCUGGCAACGGUGGGACAGGAACAGGCCGUGAUACAGGCUUACAGCGACAGGGGAAUGAUCAUCCGGCUCAAAGCGGGUGACGAGAAGGUCGGUGCGCAGGCCAGGGAGGCGCUGAGGGAGAAGUUCAACGGCCUCCAGGUUCUGAGGCUGGAAAAAGUGGGGCCUGUCGUCGGAAGCGAACUGAAGCGCCAGGCGUUGAUCGCCCUCUUCCUGUCGCUGAUCGGGAUACUGGUCUACGUCGGGGUCCGCUUCAAGUUCCGCUUCGCAGCCGUGAGCGUCAUUGCACUGGCCCAUGACGCGAUCAUCACCACCGGGGCAUUGGCGCUCACUGGGCGGGAGGGC